ACUUUAAUUAAUUAUCUGUGCUCUGCCCUUCUUCAUUGAGGAGAGAGUUUCGAUCUGUGGUAUCUUAUAUACAAGAAAAGCUAGCCAAGAAAUCUUUAAUUUUCCAAUUGAUAUUUUCCUUGUACUUGUGAAUUUGCAGCUGAUUAGAGCAAGCAUGGCUUCUUCUUCUUCUUCUCUUUCACUUGACGAAAAGUACGAUGUGUUUCUCAGCUUCAGAGGUGAGGAUACACGCGAUACUUUCACUAGCUACCUUUAUGCAGCUUUAUCAGCAAAGCAAAUCUCAACUUUCAUGGAUCACGAGCUUGAAAGAGGGGAUGAAAUUUCACCAACACUUAGCAAAGCAAUCGAGGAAUCCAAGAUUUCGGUGAUCAUUUUCUCCAAAAACUAUGCUUCUUCUACAUGGUGUUUGGAUGAACUCGUGCAGAUACUUGAAUGCAAGGAAAGAAGAGGGCAGGUUGUUAUGCCAAUCUUUUACGGCAUAGAUCCAUCGGAUGUACGAAAACAGAAGGGGAGUUACAAAAUUGCAUUUUCUGCACAUGAAAAACGUUUCCAUGAUAGAAUGGGAAUGGUGAAUCAAUGGAGAGCUGCUUUAACAGAAGCAUCCAAUCUAUGUGGCUUGGAUUCAAAGGAUUUCAGGCCUGAAAACAAGUUAGUUCAAAAAAUUAUUGAAGACAUUUCAACGAAAUUGCCUAAGUAUCUUUCAUCAAAUAUGCAUAUCAAUGGACAUCUUAUAGGAAUUGAAAAAAAGAUCAAGGAAAUUGAAUCAAAAUUAUGCACUGGCAUAAAAGAUGUUCGCAUUAUAGGUAUUUGGGGCAUGGGAGGUAUUGGCAAGACAACCCUUGCUAGUGCUGUUUUUCAAAGAUUGUCGUAUUUUCAAUUUGAAAGUUACUGCUUUCUUUGGAAUAUUAGGGAAGAAUAUUUAAGGUGUGGACCAAAUUAUUUGAGAAAGAAACUUCUGUCCGAGUUAUUAAGUGAUGAAUCGAUUUUGAGGAUGGACACUCCAUUUGUAGCAUCACCUUUUAUUCAUGACAAACUCAGCCGGAAAAAGGUGCUCAUUGUUCUAGAUGAUGUGGACAGUUCAACCCACUUAGAAGCUUUAGUAGAAGGAUAUGAUCACUUUGCACCUGGGAGCAGAAUCAUUGUCACAACUCGAAAUGUGCAAGUACUAAUUAAAAAAGAAGCUGAUGAUAUUUACAAGCUUGAAUGGUUAAAUAAGAAUGAAUCUUUAGAGCUGUUCAGUUUGCAUGCUUUUGGAAAAAGUUUUCCUUCAAAAGAUUAUGAACUGCUGUUAAACCGUGCGACAAGCUAUGCUGAUGGAAAUCCAUUAGCUCUUAAAGUCUUGGGUUCUUUCCUUCGCUCCAAAAGCACAGAUGAAUGGGAAAGUGCACUAAAUAAACUGAAAACAACUCCCAACAAGGACAUUUUAGAUGUGCUGAGAAUCAGUUAUAAAGGACUAGAUGAUCAAGAGGUCAAAAAUCUAUUUCUUGACAUUGCAUGUCUAAUUAAUCAAUCUUUUACUAGAGAUGAUAUAGAAAACAUGUUAGAUGCAGGCCAUUCUUUUGUGAAAAUAGGAUUAACUGUUCUUAUUGAAAAGUCUUUAAUUGAAAGUCAUGAAGACAACAAGCUAUGGAUGCAUGAUUUGUUGCGGCAAGUGGGCCGGACAAUUGUUCUUGAUGAACAUAGAGAACCUAGUAAUCGUAGCCGAUUGUGGGAUGUCAGAGAUGUUUGCCAUGUCUUGGAAAGAAACACGGGAACUGCAGCAGUUGAAGGCAUCUCAUUUAACAUGGCUGAGAUUAGUAAAGAUGUUAAAUUGUGCCAUGCAGCCUUCUCAGAGAUGUAUAAUCUACGAAUUCUCAAAAUUUAUUGUGACAAUAUUGAUGAGAACAAGUUCAAACUGUACAUUCCCCAAGGUCUUGGUUCUUAUCUUUCUAAUAAGCUAACAUAUCUUCGGUGGGAUUUAUACCCUUUAAAAUCUUUGCCAUCAAAGUUUUCUCCUGAAAAUCUUGUUGAGCUGGUACUACGUGGCAGCCAUAUUCAAAAACUUUGGAAUCAUCAUGAAGUUAAGUCUCUUCCAAUAUUAAGGAGGAUCGAUCUUAGCUAUUCCAAGUUCCUUACUCAAAUACAAAAUCUGUCUCUGGCUCCGAAUCUGGAAAGUAUAAAUCUUGAAGGGUGUAAAAGUUUGGUUCAUGUUCUUUCAUCUCUUCAAAAUCUUGACAAGCUUACAUAUCUAAAUUUGAGUGGCUGCUCCAAACUCAGAGAUUUUGAAGAUAUAUCAAAAACAACAGGGGGGUACUUGGAUGUUGCAAGGUUAGGAGGCAUUAAUAAUCUUUUAAUUAAUUUCACAUUUCUCAGAAGUUGCAUCCGAAGUUUUAUGGGCAAUUUUUGUCCCUACUCAACUCAGGGUCACAUUUCCCAAAAGUUUGCACCCAAUUUAAGAUGUUUACUUUUACGUGAGACAGCUAUAGAGACAGUGCCCCCAUCAAUUGGGGAUCUCUCGGGUCUUGUGAAAUUAGAUUUGAGUUAUUGCACAAGACUUAAAAGUCUUCCAUCAAGCAUUUGUCAUUUGAAAUCUCUUGAAUCACUGCAUAUGUCUGGUUGUAAGAAACUCAAAACAUUUCCAGAAAUCUUGGAGCCUAUGGAACACUUGAGAACUUUUUGGUUAGAUAACUCGGGGAUUAAAGAGUUGCCAGAGUCGAUUGAAAAUCUAGUAUUCCUGAAAGAAUUAUAUAUACAGCGGUGCAAAGACCUUGAGUUUCUCCCCAACCGUCUAUGUAAAUUGAGGAACCUUGAGAAGAUAUUGCUCAACCACUGUUCAAAAUUUGAAAAAUUGCCUUCCCUUCCACCGUCUUUGCUCCACUUGUCUCUGAAUCAUUGUGAGAAAUUGAAAUCUUUACCAGAGCUUCCAUCACUGUGUUUGGAAUUGUAUGCAAUGUACUGCACGUCACUGGAGAAAAUUUUAAAAUGGAGGGCUCCACUAUUAGACAAUCUGGGUAUUGAUGUCACUGGAAGAAGGGGUGAUACUCUUCAAACUUUUGACUUUUAUGGAUGUGAAAAUUUGGUUCAGAACACAUGCAACACCAUGCUCGCUAAUCUUGCAGUAAUUCAAAUUCUGUCUCGUCUAAAAUUUGUAACAGCUGGCACAGAUAACAUUAAUGUUCUAGUUUUACGCCAUCCAGGAGAUGAAAUUCCAAAGUGGUUCAGCUAUCAAACUUGUGGGACUUCAAUCAAUAACAUUAUGCUUCCUCCAUAUUGGAAUAAUGAUGACUUGUUGGCUUUGGCUUUCUGCAUUGUUCUUCGUCGGAAUAUAAUUGACCAUGGUAUAGACUUCUAUAUUCAUUGUGAGCUAAAUCUUAAAACCAUCGAUGAUGGCCGUCUUUACAAAUAUCAUGAUUAUUCUUGGUGGAUAUCGGAAAACAAUGUUAGAUCAGAUCACGUGCUCAUAUGGUAUGUAGAAAAACGGUCUUUACAAUAUUCAGAAUGGAAUAAAUUUAGCAAAGAAAUGGAUGGACUAAAUUGGCCCUCCACUUGUAGCACUGAGGCCUCUUUCCAUGUCCGUCCCUUUUUUAUUGAUAGCAGCGAGCAAGCUUUAGACAUUGGAAGUGAUCAAGCAAGACAUGAGUAUGCCGAGAUUAAGAAGUUUGGGGUUCGGUUUGUGUACAAACAAGACAUGGAGAGAUGUGAUGCAGAAACUGAAAGAAAGAAUAAGAGACAUUUCAAUGAAUGUUGUGAAUCAAGUGGAAGUGAAGCUGUUGACUCUCUUGAGGAAGAAGACGAUGAUCAUGAAUCACAUUCAAAGAAACUCAAGGUUAUAUGACCGUUUAGAAGAUGCAGAGCAAUUGGAUGUUGAGGAACGAAAAAAACAGAACAAUUUUGUGCUACAACUUCGAGAAAUGCUUUGCAGCUAAUUAUGAAAUCAUUAUUGGCACUGAUGUAUAUGAACAAGAAAAUCAAAUAUUUGUCUCCUAAGGUAAAUCCAUUUACUUUGUUUUUUCGGUAAAUUUAAUUUGUAUGAGUUAGUAUACUCUGUUUACAACAUGCGUUUUGUAAUAUUUUGAUGGUACUAAUAUAUAAACUAAUAAGUUUACAAAUUGUAGGGUAAUUUCUUAAGGAAAAUUUUGUCUUUUGUUUGAAAUGAUAGACAUAGAGGGGGAAAAAAUUGACAUGAAAAGUAUUUUGAUGGACUUUUCAUGUAUAUAUUGAUGAACUUCGUUCAUCACCAUUUGGCAUGUCUUUUGUAGUUUCAGGCUUUGAAGAAUAUGAGUGUGAGCUAUGCAGACACCAUGGCACGUAGCUUCAAAUGAAUGAAUGGCUAUAGUUGUUGGCCAGAUGGCAGCCAUGCACCCAUUUGAUAAAACGCAAAGCAAAAGUCAAGACACGCAAACUUGGAACUAUCCUCCUUACUAACCCACUGCUUCGGCUGGCUAGUAGCUCUAUAUACCUCACAUUAAAUUUUCAUAUAUAUAUAAUACAACCAUACAAGAACAACCAUUUUUCCAGCUGAUCUAAUAAAAUGGAGAAAAUGGAGAGAGAGAGAGAGAAACAACUUCUGCAACGUAUGUCUCUACGUUUUCAUAUCUCUAUGCUACUGCUACACCAUAGCUAAGUUUGUUCCAAUAGGUGUUCUGGACUCUUUGCCUUACUACCAAUUAUAUCUCACUUCCUUUUCUUACCUCUCAAACUCUCCUCUGCCAAUCUUGGAGGCAACACAGCUUUAUUCAUAGCUUGGCUUGCCAACUUCAAGCUCUUACUUUUCGCUUUCCAUCAUUGCUUCCCUUUGUCGAGCUCUUCUGGCGCUUGAGCUGGAGCCGCAGUUCGAUGAACCAUAUCUCGCCACAUCUCCACAGGACUUCUGGUCAAGGAGAUGGAACCUCAUGGUCAGCAACAUCCUCAGUCUCGCUGUCUAAGGAACCAUCGUUAAAGCUCUCGGCCAGUGUCACCGGCCGAAAGUGGGCUUUCACUUCCGGCGAUCAUGUUAAAAUUUACAGUGUCGGAGAUCAUGCAUGAGCUCAUGUUUUACCAUUUGGGAGGUCACCUGGUUCUCUAUCCUUUAUGGGGUUUGUUUAGUGGUUGAGAUUUGUUUGAAACAGGUUUUGACCCCGAAAGUUCCGGUUACCAAGAUUGAUAGCAAGGCUGUUUGACCAUCGGAUUCGAUAUGGUUACGGCGUCUUGGCUUUUCUUUCCACCGCUCCUCAAGUGUAACGCUGAUGUUACAACAUCUAAUGAGUACACGACGGGGGCUGCAUGUGUUCGUGAGAAAGAAUGUUGGGAGUGCUUUCUCUUUGAAACAAUAUUUGAUCAUAUAUGCAUAGAUCACCAAAUUAAAGAAUUAUAUGGUGGAUUAUUAGAGAAAAGUUAUGAACAAGCUGACCGAUGACAGGUAGGAGAUAAUUUCUUUUGUAUCCCGGGCUCCUUGCAAGCAGAGAGAUGCCAUAAAUCUUUUAGAACAUGAUCAUAGAUUAUGUGAUUAAAUUCUGCCAUUGCAUGUUAAAUACAUAAACUGAAAAGUCUUAUAAUAAACAAAUUGAACGAUAUUGUAAACAA